GCUGGGAUGGUCAAGUGGUUAAGGCGGUGGACUUAAGAUCCUCUGGAGUUCAUCUCCACAUGCGUCCGAACACCACUCACAGCA
rnacentral:tRNA from 1 species